CUACAAUAUAAAGUUGUGAGUGGCGUUCCAAAACAUUCGAGGCCCUUACGCGAGGUUCCCGCUAACAGUUUAUACUCUUGAGUACAAUGGAUUCAAAGAAAGCAAUCUUCAUCCUAGCUAGGCCUAUUUGCUUUGGUUCUUCUUAUUUCUUCGGAGGUGUCAGCUAGGGACUUAACUGAGAUUUCCUCUAAGACCAAAAUUGAGGUUGUUGAACAGACAAAUAAUGUAAAUGAUACCAAAUAUCUUGGUGGUGAAGCUGUUGUUGUGCAAACUAAGGAGGACAACACUCAUAAUUGAUACCAUCGAUCAUGCAUGAUAUGUACUUUAUUAGUAACAAAUUGCAUGAUAUGAAUAAAUAAUAUUUGAUCAAGAGAGGUAUGUUGGAUCAUUAAUUAUUGAUCUUAUAUGUCAAUUCAUAAGUAUGUAUCGUGGACUAUAUUACUUAAUAACAUUUGGCUUGUGGACUUUUGAGUACCUAAUUGAGUGUGAGUGUAUAUGAUAUCAAUAUUUUUGGAUAUUAAGGAGAUAAG